GGCUGGUCCAAAGCUAGUGAGUUACCUCAGCUGAUUGUUCAGUCAGUUACAGAUUGAACUCCUUGUUCUACUACUUUCCCCGCUUCUCACUACUGCACUUGACUAGUCUAAA
rnacentral:Y_RNA from 1 species